rnacentral:lncRNA from 1 species
UGGUUCCAAUUGUUUUUACAUCAUACAUUUUUCCCAUAUGGGAAUUUUAGAAACAUUUAAAAUAAGUUCUGUGUUUUGUGUAGGCUUACCUUGACGUGAUGUUUUGAUAACCAUGUAUAUCUAAUUAGCUGCUUAUGUGGCAAUCAUAAAGAACUGCAAAUUACAUGAUGAUCUGAAUGAAACUGCUGAAUCGAGGCAAAGGUCACCCAAGUUGAGGUAAACGUUGAAAGUAUCAAUAUCAACGAAAGCGAAUCUUAAUCGAGCCUAACCUACAUGGAUUAAAAUAUAAACCAUGGAAUGUUAUUGGAGGGCGAGUCCCAAAAUAAAAAAUGCAGCAGCAGUCAACUUCAUCACUGCCCCUUCUGCACAUAUAAGGCUGAACAAUAUAUGGCCAACAACCGCAUCAAAGGUCAUGCUUCAGUGUGGCACAAAGAGUUCACAAUCAUAAAGUGUGGCUUCAGUUGUAGAAAUGCGACACGCUGUGUUUGCUUCAAACAGCCAUGUCACUGCUACUUGGUUUCCACCAGCAUCAUUGAACCCCAUGGAUCACCUGCCGGAGAAUGCAGCAAGUCUGCAGUGGAUUCUUAUUUCAGUAUGAGAACCUGGACAUUGGACAAUAUGUGUAAGUAAAUUUAGUUUUGCCUUUGUUAUUGUUUGUUUACUGUAAAACGAAGUUGCUCAUUGCCGAUCUUAUUCUUUGCUAGAAUUAUAAUGCGUCAUAGCUAUGUUUCAUUUACCACUACCUUUCUUUCAGUAUAAAUCAUACAACUUUAAAGUCAUAGGUUUAAAGGUUGUAUGUCAAAAUGUGUCUGUUCAUAUUUGAACACAUUUAACAGAUACUGAGGCCACAAGCUAGGGAGAUUUUCUUUCUAGAUCUUUCCAUGGCACUGGCUGGAGAGAUGAAAGUCGCACCCAACAGAUUCAGGUUUUUAGGGCACCCGGUUUCAUCCCAUCUGGAUAGUGGUAGUUCAGUUUUAGACCACUUAUCCAUGAUUUUUUAAUUUAAAAAAAUAAAAUAUGGCUCUGUUUUAUUUAAAGUAAAAUGUAAUAUGUAAAAUAUGUAUGUACGAUACAUAAUUUCCCAUUUGUGCAUUAAACAGAUGGAAACAGAACCAUAGAUAACAUUAUCAGUUGGGGCAGUUCUCUUUGAACCCAUUAUGACCCCCCUAAAAAAUGCGUUCGAGCCUCUAGGUGCUACCAAAGCAAGGUUUCUCAAACAACUGUGGGGUGUUUGUUUUGAUGGUAAGAUGCUGGCUAUUCAGCAUAUUAUAUUAGUCCUAUUUUCUGUUAUAACAUAUGAAAAGUUAUUAUUAUUUCUGUGCUUGCAGCAUGCAAAGCACUCUAUUGUUAUUGCUCACACUUUUUUUUGUUUAUUAUUCUUGACACUUUUUGGGACCUAUUUCCUAAAGUUUUUACACUACAUACACAAUUCAUACAUCAAACUCCUGCAGAGUUGGAUGCUGAUGUGACAUGUUGUGACUUCUUGGGGGGGUUGUCUUCUACAUCCUGAAAUAUAUAUCCCGGGGGGGAUGUCUUCUACAUCCUGAAAUAUAUAUCCCGGGGGGGGGUGUCUUCUACAUCCUGAAAUAUAUAUCCCGGGGGGGGAUGUCUUCUACAUCCUGAAAUAUAUAUCCCGGGGGAUGUCUUCUACAUCCUGAAAUAUAUAUCCCGGGGGGAUGUCUUCUACAUCCUGAAAUAUAUAUCCCGGGGGGAUGUCUUCUACAUCCUGAAAUAUAUAUCCGGGGGGGGGGUUCUCAUUAUUGUUGUUAUCAUAACUAUCAAACUACUUAACUUACAGUACACUGUUUACAUUGCAAUGGAAGCACAGUGUGAUUUCACUGAGGUAUGUAUACAUUUUGAAAUUCUGAUCACUAGUGGAUAUAAUGUUUUUUGAGAUUACUAUCCGAUUGUGUGAUUUUCUUUUUCAAAGGAAAACAUGCAGCAAAUUAGGCGAUCGUGGUGCCUAGUUCUCCUGCAAAACUUUCCCAUGUCGUAAGUGUUGAACAUUAUAAAAAUGUAUAAUUUUCAUCCUUAAAAUCCCUUUCACUGUAGCCAGACUGACCUGAAUAUAUUUUCAUAUUGAAUGUAUGUAAUGUAUGUAAUGUAUGUCACUAAGGUCUGAAGAAGGGAGGUUGAAAGAUCGAAAAGGGCAGCGAAAACAAAACACACUACAGGUAGGAAGUGUCAUGAUGAGUGGUAUAGUCUUAAACCAAUGUUUAAAGACUUAACCCUCCUCUCAUAUGAUGAGCGGUAUAGUCUUAAACCAAUGUUUAAAGACUUAACCCUCCUCUCAUAUGAUGAGUGGUAUAGUCUUAAACCAAUGUUUAAAGACUUAACCCCCCUCUCAUAUGAUGAGCGGUAUAGUCUUAAACCAAUGUUUAAAGACUUAACCCUCCUCUCAUAUGAUGAGCGGUAUAGUCUUAAACCAAUGUUUAAAGACUUAACCCUCCUCUCAUAUGAUGAGUGGUAUAGUCUUAAACCAAUGUUUAAAGACUUAACCCCCCUCUCAUAUGAUGAGCGGUAUAGUCUUAAACCAAUGUUUAAAGACUUAACCCCCCCUCCAAUAUAUUUCAGGAUUUCAAGACACCCCCCCCCCCCCCCAAGAAGUCCCAGCAUGUCUCAUCAGCAUCCAGCUCUGCAGGAUCAGACGAUACUGAAAACAAAAUGCACGGCGAACUGGGAGCUGUGAACUGGGAAGCAGAUGUUCUUCAAAGAGACACCCUAGAGGCAGCAAGGAGGUGCGAACGACAAAGCAUUUAAAGGCAUUGAUUCCCUCCCUAGUGUAAUUAGGAUGGACGGGAAGACCACAUUACAACCCUUAAAGAACAACGGUUGUAUUAUGGCCUGGAUGAAGAGGAAAAUAUUAUCCUCAAGGAACCAUUCAUGUUCCAGUUACAGAGAGAUGUUCUAUGUGGAGGCAGUUGACAAGAAAAUGACUGUCUGCCUCUUCUGAGGAGCAGGAGUGAAGGCAUUUUUGAGGAGUGGUCAAAACUUGUUUUUGUCUGCUGUGUUAAUUGUUUCAAUUGUUAAUUGUGUUAUGUUGUUUAGUAAAGAUGACGUAGAACUCACCCGAGUCUAUGAUCUCUGAUCUCUGAUGAUUUACUGGAGCUGGUAUAACUUCAUGUACAAAGCACAUUCAGCAUGUCAGUAUAUCUAUAUGGUAUAGUCUGUCUCCAUUCUCAUGUGGAAAGUAAAUGGCAC